UGAUCCUGGCUCAGGAUGAACGCUAGCGGCAGGCCUAAUACAUGCAAGUCGAACGGGAUUCAGCCUUCGGGCUGAUGAGAGUGGCGCACGGGUGCGCAACACGUAUGCAACCUACCUUCAAUUGGGGGAUAGCCUUCCGAAAGGGAGAUUAAUACCGCAUAAAACAGCAGGAUGGCAUCAUUUAACUGUUAAAACUUCGGUGAUUGAAGAUGGGCAUGCGUUGCAUUAGCUAGUUGGUAAGGUAACGGCUUACCAAGGCUACGAUGCAUAGGGGAUCUGAGAGGAUGAUCCCCCACACUGGUACUGAGAUACGGACCAGACUCCUACGGGAGGCAGCAGUAAGGAAUAUUGGUCAAUGGACGCAAGUCUGAACCAGCCAUGCCGCGUGCAGGACGACGGCCCUAUGGGUUGUAAACUGCUUUUGUCGGGGAAUAAACCUCAUUACGUGUAAUGAGUUGAAGGUACCCGAAGAAUAAGGAUCGGCUAACUCCGUGCCAGCAGCCGCGGUAAUACGGAGGAUCCAAGCGUUAUCCGGAUUUAUUGGGUUUAAAGGGUGCGUAGGCGGUUAAUUAAGUCAGAGGUGAAAGCCUGCAGCUCAACUGUAGAACUGCCUUUGAUACUGGUUAACUUGAGUACAGAUGAAGUGGGCGGAAUGUGACAAGUAGCGGUGAAAUGCAUAGAUAUGUCACAGAACACCGAUUGCGAAGGCAGCUCACUAAGGUGUAACUGACGCUGAGGCACGAAAGCGUGGGGAUCAAAACAGGAUUAGAUACCCUGGUAGUCCUACGCCCCUAAACGAUGAUUACUAGCUGUCGGCGAUACACAGUCGGCGGCAAAGCGAAAGCGUUAAGUAAUCCUACCUGGGGAGUACGGUCGCCAGAUUUGAAACUCCAAAGGAAUUGACGGGGGCCCGCACAAGCCGAAGAGCAUGUGGGUUUAAUUCGAAUGAUACGCGAGGAACCUUACCCGGGCUUGAAAGUUACUGAAUGAUCUAGAAAUAAGAUCAGUGAGCAAUCACCCCAACUAGGCGCCUGCAUGG
rnacentral:rRNA from 1 species